rnacentral:rRNA from 1 species
GUGUCAGCCGCCGCGGUAAUACGGGAGUGGCAAGCGUUAUCCGGAAUUAUUGGGCGUAAAGCGUCCGCAGGCGGCUUUUCAAGUCUGCUGUUAAAACGUGGAGCUUAACUCCAUCAUGGCAGUGGAAACUGAAAGGCUUGAGUAUGGUAGGGGCAGAGGGAAUUCCCGGUGUAGCGGUGAAAUGCGUAGAUAUCGGGAAGAACACCAGUGGCGAAGGCGCUCUGCUGGGCCAUUACUGACGCUCAUGGACGAAAGCCAGGGGAGCGAAAGGGAUUAGAUACCCCUGUAGUCCUGGCCGUAAACGAUGAACACUAGGUGUCGGGGGAAUCGACCCCUUCGGUGUCGUAGCUAACGCGUUAAGUGUUCCGCCUGGGGAGUACGCACGCAAGUGUGAAACUCAAAGGAAUUGACGGGGGCCCGCACAAGCGGUGGAGUAUGUGGUUUAAUUCGAUGCAACGCGAAGAACCUUACCAGGGUUUGACAUCCUGCGAACCUCUUAGAAAUUUGAGGGUGCCUUCGGGAAUGCAGUGACAGGUGGUGCAUGGCUGUCGUCAGCUCGUGUCGUGAGAUGUUGGGUUAAGUCCCGCAACGAGCGCAACCCACGUUUUUAGUUGCCAGCAUUUAGUUGGGCACUCUAGAAAGACCGCCGGUGAUAAACCGGAGGAAGGUGUGGAUGACGUCAAGUCAUCAUGCCCCUUACACCCUGGGCUACACACGUACUACAAUGCUACGGACAAAGGGCAGCAAACUCGCGAGAGCUAGCAAAUCCCAUAAACCGUGGCUCAGUUCAGAUCGUAGGCUGCAACUCGCCUACGUGAAGUAGGAAUCGCUGGUAAUCGCAGGUCAGCAUACUGCGGUGAAUACGUUCCCGGGCCUUGUACACACCGCCCGUC